CAGUGAUGCAGCUAACGCAAUAAGCAUCCCGCCUGGGGAGUACGGCCGCAAGGCUAAAACUCAAAGGAAUAGACGGGGACCCGCACAAGCGGUGGAGCAUGUGGUUUAAUUCGAAGAUACGCGAAGAACCUUACCUGGGCUUGACAUCCCGAGAACCCUCCAGAGAUGGAGGGGUGCCCCUUUUGGGGGAGCUCGGUGACAGGUGCUGCACGGCUGUCGUCAGCUCGUGUCGUGAGAUGUUGGGUUAAGUCCCGCAACGAGCGCAACCCUCGCCCUUAGUUGCCAGCACUUCGGGUGGGCACUCUAAGGGGACUGCCCGGGUAACCGGGAGGAAGGUGAGGAUGACGUCAAGUCAUCAUGGCCCUUAUGCCCAGGGCGACACACGUGCUACAAUGGCGCGUACAGAGAGAGGCGAUACCGCGAGGUGGAGCAAAUCUCUAAAGCGCGUCCCAGUUCGGAUCGGAGUCUGCAACUCGACUCCGUGAAGUCGGAAUCGCUAGUAAUCGCGGAUCAGCCAUGCCGCGGUGAAUACGUUCCCGGGUCUUGUACUCACCGCCCGUCACACCAUGGGAGUUGAGCUCACCCGAAGCCGGGGGACCGACCCGUAAGGGAGGACCCUCGUCGACGGUGGGCUCAGCGACUGGGGUGAAGUCGUAACAAGGUA
rnacentral:rRNA from 1 species